rnacentral:rRNA from 1 species
GGCCUAAUACAUGCAAGUCGAACGGGAUUGGAGAGCUUGCUUUCCAUGAGAGUGGCGUACGGGUGCGUAACGCGUAUGCAACCUACCUUCAUCAGGGGGAUAGCCCGAAGAAAUUCGGAUUAACACCGCAUAAAAACACAACCUGGCAUCAGGAAAUGUUCAAAUAUUUAUAGGAUGAAGAUGGGCAUGCGUGUCAUUAGCUAGUUGGUGAGGUAACGGCUCACCAAGGCGACGAUGACUAGGGGAUCUGAGAGGAUGACCCCCCACACUGGUACUGAGACACGGACCAGACUCCUACGGGAGGCAGCAGUAAGGAAUAUUGGUCAAUGGAGGCAACUCUGAACCAGCCAUGCCGCGUGCAGGAAGACAGCCCUAUGGGUCGUAAACUGCUUUUAUACGGGAAUAAACCUUGAUUCGUGAAUCAAGCUGAAUGUACCGUAAGAAUAAGGAUCGGCUAACUCCGUGCCAGCAGCCGCGGUAAUACGGAGGAUCCAAGCGUUAUCCGGAUUUAUUGGGUUUAAAGGGAGCGUAGGCGGCUUGUUAAGUCAGGGGUGAAAGACGGUGGCUCAACCAUCGCAGUGCCUUUGAUACUGAUGAGCUUGAAUAUAGUUGAGGUAGGCGGAAUGUGACAAGUAGCGGUGAAAUGCAUAGAUAUGUCACAGAACACCGAUUGCGAAGGCAGCUUACUAAGCUAUUAUUGACGCUGAGGCUCGAAAGCGUGGGGAUCAAACAGGAUUAGAUACCCUGGUAGUCCACGCCCUAAACGAUGAUAACUCGAUGUUGGCGAUAUACAGUCAGCGUCCAAGCGAAAGCGUUAAGUUAUCCACCUGGGGAGUACGCCCGCAAGGGUGAAACUCAAAGGAAUUGAC